CCCCAGUGGACAAAAGUCGACUCUACCCCAGAGGCUAAUUUUCUCAAGGCAGGCACCUGUUGAGAGGCUGCAAGUAAAAUACAGGGGAACGCUAGUUUCCGAGCUCAUAUGGGACCGUCUAGUUGGAAGAAAACAAGCUCAGGGCUCCCACUGAUUCCACAUUAUGGAGUGCACACAUGCUUCUGUCUUCACAUAUGCACAGCUGAAAGUGAGAUGAUUUCUCUACUCCACAGUUGGGAAGGGGGAUUAGACAACAGAGAAGAUGGAGAAGACAAAAGGGCUUGUGGAAAACUGCAAGUCAACAUUUCUUUGGUAAGGCAGUUACCACACAUGAGCACUGGCUGCCAAGCAAAGACUAUGGUUCACUGAAGAGAACCUGACAGGAGUAGCCACCCCUCUGUUUCAGGCAGUAAUUGCCAUGUGAGACUGUGAUGGUUGUCCAGAUCUUCUGAUUAUUCAAGUAAAGCUGGAAAUUUA
rnacentral:lncRNA from 1 species